UUUCAACCGAUUUACAGGGCUGUUUUCUUUAGUCAGUCAAAUAUAUUAUACUACCGAAGCGGGAGUUUAGAAACAGAAAACACAAAAUCAUGGCGGGAGAAACCCUAGACGAUCGUAUCAGUCAGUUGCCGGACUCACUUCUGCUUCAAAUUCUGUCCCUUUUGCCGACGGAGGAAGCAUUCACAACAUGUAUUCUCUCUAAAAGGUGGCAGUAUCUCUGGACUUCACUUAAUUCCUUCAUUUUCUCUCCUAAGCGCUAUUGGGAAAGAAGCAUAGGAUUCCGAUCAUUUGUUGACUACGUAUUGUCUCAUUCCACUGCUUCCAAAAUUGACAAGUUUGAGCUUCACUGCGGUAGCCUGUAUAAGCACAAGUCUCAAAUCAGUCGAUGGCUUACUUUUGCUGUUAAGAAAAAUGUGCAACAUGUUGUAAUCUAUUCUCAUCCUCCUUACAUAAUGCCUCGAACUUUCUUCACUUGUUCAUCUUUGAUAACAUUACAUAUUGCGAAAUGUUCAUUGGUUUCUGAUAUUGUUAUAGCCUGGAAGUCUCUAAACACUAUAAAAUUGGAGGAUAUGGUGGUACUGGAUGCCGAAAUUAAUAACUUACUCUCAGGCUGUCCUGCAUUGGAAACUAUAGUAUUUAAUAGUGUUGGGGGUUUUCGUCGCCUAGAAAUUAAUUCAUUAAAGGUAAAAACCCUGAAAUUGGAAGGUUAUUGGGAAAAUGAUAGUGGUCACUCAUUUGAAAUUUGUGCCCCGUAUCUGCAGCAUUUGGAGCUGUCGCGCGAUUUUCAUGAUUUCAUGUGUUGUCUUGUGGAUGUAUCCUCUGUGGUUAAUGCUAAGAUAACUUUCGACGUUACAUGUAUUAAAGAUUUUGAGGAUGAUUAUCUAGAUUCUGAUGAAGAGGAUGAAGACAGUUGCAGGGACUAUCAUGAAGAUUUUAAGACCAUCGUCCAAGAUUACCUUCAAAAGCUACGUUAUGCAACCGAGUUAACAUUUGGAACUUUGUUCAGUCAGGUCCUAUGCAUAUUGCAGUUCAAAGAGGUGCCAAUUCCAGAAUUGGAAUGCAAAUAUCUAGCGCUAGAGUUGCAUUUGGAAAAGUUUAGUUUGUAUAGGGCAGCUGGCCUUUUGCGAGCCUCGAGUCUUGUGGAGACACUGAACAUAUCAAUAGAAAAUCAGCCUGUAACUUUCUGGAACUUUUUCUUUUCUUUUUACAUCUUUUCAUUUAAUGAAGUUUUAACAUCUCUGUCCCCAUUCCCCACAAGUUGUUUUUGAAUGAGAACUCAAUAUAUCCUAAAUUAUCACUAAGAAGCUCCGCUUUUGUAAUUGUGACGCUACACUUUACUGCUUUCUUUGUGGUAAAUGGGCUCUGAAAUGAAAGGGGUUGUUACACUAUCACACUAUGCCACAAAUAUUUAUGAUACGCAUGACCAUCAUAAUCUUUUCCAAGCACCACUAAUAUCUGUUGGUUUUGAAAUUUGUCUAUACCAGACAUACUGUGAAAUCAUUUUUGUCACAUUAGUUCAGUUUCCAUUAGGCUGGCUUGUAUUUAGUCCUGGUUAUAUUCUUCGUCUCCAGUUUGAUGAUUCCAGGUGCUCUUUUGAGAGAAAAUAUUUGGUCAAAGGUGAUAGUAUUGGUUUGCAGAGAUAUAUUUCAAGCUUUGUGUUUUCCAACCUAAAGAAUGUUAAGAUUGUCAUCUUCUCUGGGGUGUGCCUGAAGGAGCAUACCAAGAAGCUUUUCAAACUUUCAAACUUUUUGCUAAAGAAUACAGUGGUUUUGGAGAAGUUCGUUAUCGUAUCAAAUAGACAAAGGUGUGAGAUAUGUGGAAUCAAGUGUAUGCCUCGAUUUUUAUCGCGAUUGGCUAAUAAACUGGGAUCCUCUGCUGAUUCUGUGAUUAUCUUCCAACAGCAUGUAGAUGUAUCCUCUGUGGUAAAUCCUAAGGAUAAAUCUGAUCAAGAUUCUGAUGAUAAUGAGGAAGACAGUUACGGUGAGGAUCAUCAAUAUUCUGAUGAUGAGGAAGAAAGUUGCAGUGAUUAUUUUCAAGAUUCUGAUUAUGAUCAAGACAGUUACAGUGAUUAUUAUGAAGAUUCUGAUGAUAUGGAGGAGGAUAAUCCUGAU